rnacentral:rRNA from 1 species
UACACACCGCCCGUCACACCAUGGGAGUUGGCUUUACCCGAAGGCGCUGCGCUAACCGCAAGGAAGCAGGCGACCACGGUAGGGUCAGUGACUGGGGUG